CAGUCGCCACGGUAAUACGUAGGUGGCAAGCGUUGUCCGGAAUUAUUGGGCGUAAAGCGCGCGCAGGCGGAUCAGUUAGUCUAUCUUAAAAGUUCGGGGCUUAACCCCGAGAUGGGAUGGAAACUGCUGAUCUAGAGUAUCGGAGAGGAAAGUGGAAUUCCUAGUGUAGCGGUGAAAUGCGUAGAUAUUAGGAAGAACACCAGUGGCGAAGGCGACUUUCUGGACGAAAACUGACGCUGAGGCGCGAAAGCCAGGGGAGCGAACGGGAUUAGAUACCCCAGUAGUCCCUGUCUCUUAUACA
rnacentral:rRNA from 1 species